rnacentral:misc_RNA from 1 species
UUUCCGUAGGUGAACCUGCGGAAGGAUCAUUAACAAUUAGCGUUUCAUGGUACCCUUUAUACAAUCCCUUUCCACCUUCUGCGCAAGGUUAUGAGACCCUCUAUCGAUCUCUUUUAGGAUACGGAAGCGGUAACCUCAACUACUUAUGAUCACCACCUCUAACAGAUAUAACUGAACAUUUGUUAUCACGUAUUAAUUUCAUCCGAAAAGACAACUUUCAACAACGAAUCCCUUGGCUCUCGCAUCGAUGAAGACACCAGCAGUUGUGAAGAGAACACG